GGAGAUCCCUCCUUUUGGAGUUUUCCAGCAAGCUCAGGACAGGGCACGGCUUCAUGCUUGAUCUGAGGUUAAGACAGAAUGAUUACAGAGUAGUAAAAUCAUCAGGAUGUUCUCCCAUUUCACUUCCUUUUGGAGUUUUCUAGUGCAAGUCUGGGAUGCAGAAAGCAGAAAUAAUACCAAAUGGUGUAUGAGACCAUUCCAUACGAACAAAAAAUACUUGAACCAAGUGCUCUGAUGGUUUCUUUGUACAUGUGGAGUUAGAGACACUGAAGCAUUCUGCUUUUUCCAGAUUUACAGGGCAGUUUGCAUUUAAAAAGUUGCGUAAGCCUCUUAUGUGAAGUCAUUCUCUCAAAAAAUCAUAGUAAUAGUAGUAUAUGAUUAAAAUUAUAAAUCCUGUAAGUCAAUAACAGAUUUCAAAAAGCUGCUAGUUGGAGUACAAAAGAUUAAAUGAAUAAUUUACCACUUUCUACUGUCUUAUCAAAUGAAAUUAUCAUUAUUGUGGAUGUUUUUUCCUCUUUGUAUUUGGAAGUGAUGAAUUGUUCUAUGUACCAAAUGUACCAAAGUUUCUUCUUAGCCCAUUUAGGUGUAGAAAAUAAGUUAAAUUGACAAAACGAAAGAAAAAUUCCUUGCGACAACUAACUGCAUUGGCUACAGAAACAUAUUGGUUCCUGGACUGUUAAGUCACUUCUACAUUUUCAUAAGAGUGCUUGUGAGAGAGAACCCUAAAUGUAAAUUAGAAGUAUUCUUUGUAGAAAAGGCUCUCCAUAGGUAAGAAAAUGCUAUGAAUAUCUAAUAAAAAAACUGCUGACCUUUGUGAAAGUUAAUAAUAGAAAAUAGGCUACAGUAACAUGAAUGCUGUUCUAACUGAAGUGUAAAAGAAUAUUUUUGUCACUUUCAAUGCAA